rnacentral:rRNA from 1 species
GAUGAACGCUAGCGGCAGGCCUAAUACAUGCAAGUCGAGGGGCAGCACAGUGUAGCAAUACAUGGGUGGCGACCGGCAUACGGGUGCGGAACACGUACGCAAUCUGCCUUGUACUGGAACAUAGCCCCGGGAAACUGGGAUUAAUAUUCCAUAAUAUUAUAGACCGGCAUCACCUUAUAAUUAAAGCUCAGGCGGUUGAAGAUGAGCGUGCGCCUGAUUGGCGAGUUGGCGGGGUAACGGCCAACCAAGGAAACGAUCAGUAUCUGGCGUGAGAGCGCGACCAGUCACACGGGCACUGAGACACGGGCCCGACUCCUACGGGAGGCAGCAGUAGGGAAUAUUGGUCAAUGGAGGCAACUCUGAACCAGCCAUGCCGCGUGCAGGAUGAAGGCCCUCUGGGUUGUAAACUGCUUUUAUCAGGGAAGAAGCCACCGGAUUCAUCUGGUGUUGACGGUACCUGAGGAAUAAGCACCGGCUAACUCCGUGCCAGCCGCCGCCGUAAAAC